UACGAAGGGAACUAGCGUUGUUCGGAAUCACUGGGCGUAAAGCGGGCGCAGGCGGACUAUCCAGUCAGGGGUGAAAGCCCAAGGCUUAACCUUGGAAUUGCCUUUGAAACUGAUAGUCUGGAGUGUGUGAGGGGGUAGCGGAAUUCCGAAUGUAGAGGUGAAAUUCGUAGAUAUUCGGAGGAACACCGGUGGCGAAGGCGGCUACCUGGCACACAACUGACGCUGUGGCGCGAAAGCUAGGGGAGCAAACGGG
rnacentral:rRNA from 1 species